CAUAGUCAGGACCCAUGAUGCUGUCAAGUAGUGGUAAAGAUAGCACCAUGUUCUGUGACCCUACAGGUCCCACUAGCAAAAUAUUUGCUUUCUAUUCUCACAAACUUAUGACUUCCUGAACUAGAGGCCUUAGUUCCAAAGGGAGGAUGCUUCUACAGGGAGACAAAACAAAGUUAUAUUCAAUAGAUGUUAAGACCAUACCACCCAAUCACUUCAGUGUCCUCAAGCCAUUGGAUCAAUAGGCAAAGAAAGAAGUUACUGUGUUGACUUGAAUGAUUGACCCUGAUACUGAGGGGAAAUUGGACUGUACUUUACAAUGGAGGUUAUUUAUUCCAAGACGAUGUCAGUUUGAAGAUGGCAUUAUUCUGAACAUCCCCAAUCAUCAUUGAGGGAAGCUAGGACUGUAAGGUCUGAAUUAAG